GUGUGUGUGUGUGUGUGUGUGUGUGUGUGUGUGUGUGUGUCUCUCUCUCUCUCUCUCUCUCUCUUUCUUUCAGAAAUAAAUAAACAUUAAAAAAAACCCAGGAAACUCUUCCUUGGCUAUCUAAAAUAGCACCCUUGUUACUCUUUGCCCUCUUAACUCUGCCUGAUUUUUCUUGGUAGCACUUAUCACUGAGAUCACUGUCCAUCCUCUUAAUAUCCGGCCAGGUUUUUUUUAUUGGCACUUAUCAUUAUCCAAGGUCAUAUUUUGUAAUUCUUAUUUAAAAAUUUUCUGCCUCCUCCACUAGAAUGUAAACUGCAUCAGGGCAGGGACUUGGCUCUGUUAUUUGCUGAAUCCCCAGCACUACGUUUGAACGGCACCUGGUACUUUGAGGGCCCUCGCCUAUUCAUUGAAUGAAUGAAUUCUCUUUUGAUCACCUAGAGUUGAGUCUGGAUACUUGUUGUCCUCAGUAAAUGCACACUCUUUGGCAGCCUCAAUUCCCUCACCUUUAAACUCUGAAUUGGGCCAGGAAAUGUCUACUCCAGCAGGUCAUUGUGAAGAUUAAUCAACAUGCAAACUGCCUGGCGUUCUCUGACUCCCCCUCCCUCUCCUCCAUUAAUCUCGAAUGGCUGUGGUCACUUGACUUCUCUAUGACCCUUUAGGUACUUAAUUUGCAUUAUAUCAGUUCCAUCUGCUUUGUAACUGCACCUCAUUUAUUUCCUGCGUGUUUUCAUUGUUUUCCGAUGGAAACGCCUCUAGCCUGGCUUGGGUCAUUUGCAUACCACUUGUAGCAUAGCACCUCCCCUGUCUGUCUCCAUUUGUAACCAUGGAUCCACCCUCCCCAAUGCCUUCCUAAACGAGGCUUGAUGACGAUGUCCUUCCUGUCUGAUUCUCAUGCAUUAUAACACGAGCCGAGUGUCCCACGGUCACAGAAACACUCAUGGAAAACUUGCAGUGCUGGGAAGGACUUUUGAGACACUGUGAUCUACUCAUCCUUCAAAUAAGGGGGGAAAAAAAACCCCAAAGGAAGUUGCCAAAGAUCACCAAGAUGACUGUCAGUUAGAGAAACUGCCCAUGAGGCCCCGGGAUCGGUCCCGGGUGAUCGAUGCUGCCAAACACGCCCACAAGUUUUGUAACACAGAAGACGAGGAGACUAUGUAUCUUCGGAGGGACACCAGUCAUAUUGGAUUAAGGGCACAUCCUACCCAUCUGCAUGACCUCAUCGUAACUAAUUAUAUCUGCAAGGACCCUCUUUCCAAGCCUGAAGGCAUUGAACGACAAUACCGGAAGAAGUGUGCCAAGUGUGGACUGCCACUCUUCUAUCAGUCCCAGCCGAAGAACGCUCCUGUGACCUUCAUCGUGGAUGGAGCAGUGGUCAAGUUUGGCCAGGGUUUUGGCAAAACAAAUAUCUAUACCCAGAAACAGGAGCCUCCUAAGAAGGUGAUGAUGACCAAACGGACGAAAGACAUGGGCAAGUUCAGCUCUGUCACGGUGUCUACGAUUGACGAAGAGGAAGAGGAGAUCGAGGCUAGAGAAGUCGCUGACUCGUACGCGCAGAAUGCCAAGGUCAUUGAAAAGCAGCUGGAGCGCAAAGGCAUGAGCAAAAGGCGGCUGCAGGAGCUGACUGGCAGGUGUCAGCUCUGGUUUGAAUCUCUCUGCUGUCGGAAGAAAAUCCAUAAAAAGCCAGAAUGUACGUAGAGCUUCCUUUACUUGAUGUUCAGAGAAACUUGCCCAGUCACAGACUCCAGAAACAGCACAGCCUUGCUUCCUGUACUUCAAAUAUUAAAGCUCUGGGCAUGCUCUACCGACUGAGCCGGGCCAGGCGCCCCUAAAGGUCCCUUCUCAGUCCCCCGCUUGCACCUGCCAGUCCCAGCAGGAUCUGGAGAGCUUCCACUUUGGUUCCCCUGCUCCGGGCCACCACACACGGAUCUCCACUACUUGUUUGUGCGUUCUGACCCCACGACUCCUACUACGAUCCCCCUCGACUCACUGCGCUCCAGCCACUGUGGUCUCCUCCCUGGUUCUCACAGAUGCCCGGCACAUUCCUGACUGAGGCCUCCGCAUUUGCUGUUCCUCUGCCUGGAACACUCUUCCCCCAGGAAAUCAACAACAACAACAAUGAAUCGAAGCCUGAUUAAGAGCAUUUACCGAUCUCUGCAUUACGAGUACCCAGCGCAUGGCUGAUUGCAAGUCCCCAGCCUCACCGUGACAUUGGGAAGAGAUGUGCAACUGCCCACUGUCAUACGGUAUUUCAGCCGCCCGGAUGUGGGAGAUUGUCACCUCACGUGUACGGGUCACAGUAAAAUAGAGUAAAAAUGGUUAGGGAGUGAUGAGUUUGUGGCUAUUUAUUACCUAGUUUUUAAUUUUUUUUAACGUUUUUAUUUAUUUUUUGAGACAGAGAGAGACAGAGCAUGAGAAGGGGAGGGGCAGAGAGAGAGGGAGACACAGCAUCGGAAGCAGGCUCCAGGCUCUGAGCCAUCAGCACAGAGCCCCACGCGGGGCUCAAACUCACAGACCGCGAGAUCGUGACCCGAGCUGAAGUCGGACGCUUAACCGACCGAGCCCCCCAGGCUCCCCUAUUACCUAUAUUUCUUUAUAACCUUAACAACCAGCUCACAUUUGUGACAAGGUGGCAUUUGGCUCCCAUGGGCCAGGAGGAGCCAGCUCCCUGGGCCUGGCUAGAUUUCCAGGUCCUGAAUGACCCUCAUCCCUUCUCCCACUCCCCUCUGCCAUUAAUUCGAGGACCUCCCAGCCCACCGCCACAGCUGGGGAGCUCCCGGGUUCCAGAGCUAACCCUAGCGGCCACCUUGAAUGAAGGCACUGGAGAGAGUGACAACGGUGGCUUUUCCAUGGCUGGGUGGCCUCUUUCUGCCUGAAAAAAAAAAAAAAGCAGAGGUGGAAGACAGCCAGGGACACUCACAGUGACUCCAGAAGGCACAUCUGGCAAGCACUCAAGACUAAGAGGAAAAGGAGGGAUGAAGCGGUGAGGGCAGGGGAGCUUGGGCUCAGCCUUCUGUCCAUUUGGCUCUACUCCUAGGCUGUAAUUUAUUGCUGAAGACUUUCCAGAAAGGCUGGUGACGCUGGAGACGAGGCAGCGCCGGUGGGGGGGGGGCACCCCUUCGCUCCUGCCUCCAGGAUGUCAGCCAGAGCCUGCGGGUGGUCUCCUGUCUGCUCUUGGAGUCUACAUCCGGGGCCCAUUCGUCUUUCGGCAGGAGACGGUGGCAGUGACUUUGGGGCUCUUGUGGAAUAUGACUCCCUCUGGGGAAAGCCCGCCCUGCGUUCUGGGCCAUCCUCUGCGCGCUGGCCACGGAUCAACCCUGUUUCUUUCCAGGUGCCUCUGCUCUCCAGGCCACCGCCCAGGCAACUUAUCAGGUCCGACGGCUCCGUACAGUUGGGCCAUGCUGGGAUGAACCGCGCGAAUGGGGACCCUGUGUUUGCACCUAGGCUGGCAGCUGCCCAAGGGCCCGGGCCCCAGCCCCACCCCGCCCCGCGCUCAGUACAAGGACCGGCCCGCGGGGACCGAAUGAAUCAAUGAGUACAAGCCUGGCGGACAUUCAAGAUUUCUCCCUGGUGAAACAGAAGCACAGUGUGGAGGCCUGUGUGGAAACACUCAUUUUCCCAGCGUGUACAAGGAGCGUCCUUGAUUGUUGCGGACGCUUGGUGGCAGGGGCAGGGAGGGCAAACCCCGCCCCCCACCCCCGCCCCCGCCCCCACGCACACACAGGUUCUCACCGGCUAGCCGUUCUGUAACCGGGAAGUUCAGAUGCCAACUGUUUUCCUUCCAGCCUAACAGGAAAGUCACCUUCACCCCCACCUCCCCGUGUGCGGCUCCCCCCGCCCCCCCACCAAGGAAGCUGCUGGCCGAAGUCCUGACUGGGAGCGAUUGCUCCUUCUUGGCACCGGCCCGAGAACAUCCUGUGCAUCUGAGAGGCCGGGCGCCGCCAUUCCCUGCCCUACGCGGGAUGGGAAGUGACCAGAGGGAGGACGCAGACAUCGCCGGCUCAGUACACUCGCAGCGGGGAGGGAUCCAACUGGACAGGUUUACAAGCGGUCCGCUCCACGCCCAGCACCCCCACCCCCGUGCCCUGGCCAGCACGCGCACCGGCAUCCACACGCGUCCUCCAGCAAACGCCUUCGGACAACCCCGUUCACAGGCUGACAAGGGGGCAUCGUAAAGUCCCUGCUCAGGGAGGGUCCAUGCCUGUCCUCUCCAAGGAGCACAUCCACACCUUCUGUUAACGUGCCCUGGGAUGCCGGCCCCUGUGAGUGUACCAGCUUGGAAGUUCUGGCGUCCGUGUUGUGUGUGUGUGUGUGUGUGUGCGUGUGUGCGUGUGUGUUAAGCAUCUGACUCUUGCUCUCUGGGCUCAGGUCAUG